UAAACGAUUCUUGCAGGCCGUCUUCCUUUCCAGCCGCGCAGCAACAGGAUAAGGUGAGCGCCGCGCCCUUGCCGGCGGACGGCUACAGCCGCGGCGCGAGGAGCGCCGGAGUGGAAGGAGCGCCGGGGGGUGUGUGUGGCGGCAGGAGUCCCCACGGAGGCUCAAGGCUACAGCCGCGGCGCUCUGCAGUCUGAGCCGCGGAGGAGUGGAAGGAGCGCCGGGGAGGGGGACAUUCUACGGCGGCGGUGCUUGGGGCUCCGACGAACGGAGGCGGGUGGCGAUAGGAGAAGCUCUGCAGCGAUGCCCUGAAGGCCAUCAGCCAUGGCGGUUGCGGCUGCGCGUGCGCCCGCGAGCGGUUGCGUGUGGCUGGAUGUUGCCCACGCGGCUGCCGACAUUCGCCGACCGGCCUACGAGGUCGAGGUAGACUCAUAUGGAACACGAGGCCGAGGUAACGUACGCGUACAAAGCUAGCUACCUAACUAGCUGAAUCGGCUUCCUUUCAAUUUUGAUGGAGGAGCUACUGGCUGGAUCGGCUUCUUGUGGGCGCAUUGGUAGGGGAACUACGUGAGGAACCGAGCUGCUGGCCGGUGCCGGGUCCACUGCACACAGCAGUCGCCGCCACAUCUGUCGUCUCCAGAUCUGAGCAGAUGCUCGCCGCCGUCCCUUUCGACAACAUGUGAUCCGCCUCAUCGAGCGAGAACGCGGGGUGCUGCGUCUGAGUACACAGGAACCGCCUCAUCCGGAGAGGACUCGCCGCUGUUCCACAACGAGGACGCCGCCGAGGUCGUUCCGCAACACGUCGUUGUUCCAGCAAUAAAACGCAGAGUACUAGAUUCAACAUGAUCGGAGCAUCAGUGGCCUUGAAGUAGCAAGCCUGUUAGCAACACACUGCUAUUGAUUUUUUUUAGCCGUGUUCAGAGCAAGAAAGCUAUUUUUUCUUUUCAAUGCAACCUUAGGAAGAUUACCAGGGAGCCCUAAUUGCCAGAAUUAAAUCUUGAUGACUACAAAAGUAAGGUGUGCAGUAAGCAAGUUUAGGGAGGGGCAUAUCAAGUUUAGUCUGAAUUAGAAGAAGACAGGUUUGAUAAACAACACACUUCUGGCCAUUGUUUAAUUGAUUGUUAUUAGGGAGCAAAGAUAUGCACACCUUCCUUUUCUUGAACUAUGCUGAGAGCACAUAGUUUCAUGUUGUUAAUUCAUAGAUCAUCACAGGAUUAGGGCGCAGUUCUUUUCAGCAGAUUAUGGAGAAUCUCUGUCUGGAAAAUCUUAUGCCAAAAGAACUGGAUUGUAUCUCCAAAAUCUUUAGCGCCUCGUUUGGAUGUUGACAUUCGGACCAAGAAUUUGGCAUUGGCAUUGUUUGGCCCGAAUGCCGGUGUUUGGAUGGCCUAGACAUUCACGUGACGAAUUCGGGCCCGAUAUCAAGAGGCUGACCCAACCACUGGCGUGACCCCUCCGCAAAUUCGGAGCCCUGACCCUCUGCAUUCGGUUGAAUUAGCUUACCUCUUCCUUGUUACUCGCACGGCGCACGCGAAUAGGAAAUAUGGAGCGCCAGCACUGCGCUUGCCGCGGGAGAUCGAGCUUGGCCCUCCCCUACCGCCGCCUCCCGACUGAUGGCAGGCGUCUCGCCCAGGUCACCGGUGCUUCUUCCCCGACGGGUGGCAACUGUCCUCCGGCGGUCCGGCCAUCCCCGGCCUUCCUGCUGGCAACUGCCACCGUUGUAGUUUGCUGCUGACCGCCGCCAUGGUUCCUCGCACCACAUCUGCCGGAUCCCUGCCUCUGCCGACUGCUGGACGACACAACGUUCUUGGCAGAAUCGACCUAUGCGUGGGCGCGUCGCAAUGGCGGGGUGCGGGAGCCUGCAGCUCGGAGCCGACAGCCGAGCACUACAUGCCUCAGCAUGAAGGAGCUUUUGCAGCAGCUCGAGCGACACAUGGACUACGCAUAGUAGAAAACUUCCCCGGCCACAAUCUCCUCCUUCCACCUCAGCCACCACCUGCAGCUGUCCGCCGUGUAGUAAGGCCACCACGCCCAUGAGCUGCUCGACAGAAUGCCAACCAUUCAGUACAGGCAUAUUGUGACACUCUGCAGUUAUCAAGUUUUGAAACGGAUUCCCACCCACUCGCCCCAUUCAUCUUGGCGUAUACCAGGUAGGUGCAGUGCAAGAUUUGUAGUGGGAGUGGCUAACUAUAGAUUAUGCACUCUUACAAAUGUAACUGGACCCAACUCCUUGGUCUUGCUUAUGUUGCAGAUUUAGUAGUACUAAUUUUGUACUGCCAUUUUUUAUGUGAUAUACAGUGGUCGACUUUAAAACUGAUGCAUCUUUGUACAUUUGUAUGUGCUGUAUAUACAGACGAGAAAUUAUGAAUGUCGAGGAAGUGACUAAUUUCACACUUUGUACAUCCAAACAAAAAUUGGAAUUGGUGCUCCCUUUGGAUUCCAAGCACCAAAUAUAUGCACAUCCAAACACUAGAAUUGAUAUUGAAUAUCAAUAUCAAUGUCUUGGGAUAUUGGUAUUGGAGCCGAUUCAAUGCCAAGCCUUUGAAUGUCUACAUCCAAACAGAGUGUAGAGGAUUCUACAGAAUCCUAGUGCAAUCCAAAAUCUCCAAAGUAGUUGGAUUUUCCCAGAAUCUCGGGAUUUUGGCAAGUCCCACCAAAGAAAACGUUUGGAGUUAACAGAGUGCCCCUGUUGCAGCAUGUUAUUACGGCAAAACUGCCACCGAGCCACCCACGACCGAUGCCCAUCUGUUCGCAUCGAGCGACCUCGUGCAGGGCCGCCCGCUAGGAUUCAGCGCCGCCGCCCGCCCUAGUUCGCCGUCCCGGACCUCGCCGCCGCCGGCCAGGUACUCGCCACCGCCAGUCCCCACUCCCGCCGGAGUCCAGCUUCCUCUGCGGGUCCUCUGCCCCUCUGCCAUCUGCCGCCAUCGGGACACCCGGAAGCUGCCGUCGGGCCCCUCUGCACCGGCUACCGACGGCGCCUCCAUCCCAAAGCUGUAGCCAAACAUCAUCAGCUCCUCCACUCCUCCACGGCGAUCCAUCCUCUCUCUCCCAACUCUCUGUUCUUUUUUUCGCUAAAUUGGAUAGAUGCAAAAAACUAUUGCAUAGAUAGAUGAAUCGAUGUGUCAAUUUCUUAGAUGGAUGGAUGGAUAUAUUGUUCAAUUUGUCAGAUGGAUGGAUGGAUUGAUUGUUUUAAUUUGUUAGAUGGAUGGAUCGUGCUAAAAAAAUUUGUUGAUAUUGUCAAUGCUACUGUAUAUUGGUGCCAUUGCUGGAAAUUGGCUUUGGCUCAUAGGUGAUAUAGGUACUGUGAAUCUUUGCUACUGUUCUAUUUUUAGCUCACUCACAUUUGACAAGGUAUUGUUCGAAACAACAAAGUGUUAACAAUUCAUCAAACAGUUUUUGUCAAGGGAUACUACAGACAUUUCAACACACAACUCUUUUCAGAAUCCCAAACUGGAAUCUCAGAAAAGAACUCGAUGACAAAUUCUGGGAGAAGCAGAUUCUUGGAGAAUUUUCUAGAAUCUUGAUUCUGCAGAAUCCCGGGCGAAAAGAACUGGGCUAGAACUUGCUCUACAGGAAAUUAGUAAUUCUCUGUACUGCAUUUUUUCAAAGUAAGAAUAAAAUGAGACAUGAGUUGUGACACUGCAGGACAAUGAGACUAUUUGAGGGUCUAUUUUGUGCACAAGCUGAAUUAUUAUUGUUUGGGCAAUCUGAUUAUGUAAUGUUUAACCUUUGGGUACAAUGGAAGUUACUGACAGAUGUUGUGUAACUGAACUAAUUUCUCUCGUUUGAUUUACCGCAAAAAUGUAAAUACUAAGGAUGAGCAGAGAGAAGAACAAAAGUCACUGAUAUGGGGAAAUAAAUAAUGUUAGCAUA